rnacentral:rRNA from 1 species
GACGAACGCUGGCGGCGUGCCUAAUACAUGCAAGUCGAACGAGAGCGCCCGGUGCUUGCACUGGUCAAUCUAGUGGCGAACGGGUGAGUAACACGUGGGUAACCUGCCCAUCAGAGGGGGAUAACAUCCGGAAACGGAUGCUAAAACCGCAUAGGUCUUCGAGCCGCAUGGCUUGAAGAGGAAAAGAGGCGCAAGCUUCUGCUGAUGGAUGGACCCGCGGUGCAUUAGCUAGUUGGUGAGGUAACGGCUCACCAAGGCCGUGAUGCAUAGCCGACCUGAGAGGGUGAUCGGCCACAUUGGAACUGAGACACGGCCCAAACUCCUACGGGAGGCAGCAGUAGGGAAUCUUCCGCAAUGGACGCAAGUCUGACGGAGCAACGCCGCGUGAGUGAAGAAGGUUUUCGGAUCGUAAAACUCUGUUGUUAGAGAAGAACAAGUGCUAGAGUAACUGUUAGCGCCUUGACGGUAUCUAACCAGAAAGCCACGGCUAACUACGUG